rnacentral:rRNA from 1 species
UACCAGACUCCUACGGGAGGCAGCAGUGGGGAAUAUUGCACAAUGGGGGAAACCCUGAUGCAGCGACGCCGCGUGAGCGAUGAAGUAUUUCGGUAUGUAAAGCUCUAUCAGCAGGGAAGAAGAUGACGGUACCUGACUAAGAAGCCCCGGCUAACUACGUGCCAGCGGCCGCGGUAAUACGUAGGGGGCAAGCGUUAUCCGGAUUUACUGGGUGUAAAGGGAGCGUAGGCGGUGCAGCAAGUCAGAAGUGAAAGCCCGGGGCUCAACUCCGGGACUGCUUUUGAAACUGGCAAACUGGAGUGUGUGAGAGGAUAGUGGAAUUCCAGGUGUAGGAGUGAAAUCCGUAGAUAUCUGGAGGAACAUCAGUGGCGAAGGCGACUAUCUGGCACAUAACUGACGCUGAGGAGCGAAAGCGUGGGUAGCAAACAGGAUUAGAUACCCUUGUA